rfam:Ovis aries breed Texel chromosome 1, whole genome shotgun sequence.
UCCCUGGUGGUCCCAUGGUUAGGACUCAGAACUUUCACUGCCAUGGCCUGGGUUCAAUCCCUGGUCAGGGAA